UUCCGGUUGAUCCUGCCGGACCCGACUGCUAUUUGGGUGAGAAUAAGCCAUGCGAGUUGAAUGGGAUACCUAAAGUUCCCAUAGCAAACUGCUCAGUAACACAUGAUCAACUUACCCUAUAGAGAAAAAUAACCUCGGGAAACUGAGGAUAAUGUUUCAUAAUUGAAUUGGCUUGGAAAAGUUUUUCAAUGAAAGGGAUAAAAAAAAUGGUUUUUAUCUGCUAUAGGAUAGGAUCGUGUUCGAUUAUGGUUGUUGGUGAGAUAAUGGCUCACCAAGCCGAUAAUCGAUAGGGGCCGUGAGAGCGGGAGCCCCGAGAUGGGUACUGAGACAACGACCCAGGCCUUACGAGGCGCAGCAGGCGCGGAACCUCCGCAAUACACGAAAGUGUGACGGGGUUACCCAAAGUGUUCAAUAGAACUGUGGUAGGUGAGUAAUGUCCCCUACUAGAAAGGAGAGGGCAAGGCUGGUGCCAGCCGCCGCGGUAAAACCAGCUCUUCAAGUGGUCGGGAUGAUUAUUGGGCUUAAAGUGUCCGUAGCCGGUUUAGUAAGUUCCUGGUAAAAUCAGGUAGCUUAACUAUCUGUAUGCUAGGAAUACUGCUAUACUAGAGGACGGGAGGGGUCUGAGGUACUACAGGGGUAGGGGUGAAAUCUUAUAAUCCUUGUAGGACCACCAGUGGCGAAGGCGUCAGACUGGAACGUGCCUGACGGUGAGGGACGAAAGCCAGGGGAGCGAACCGGAUUAGAUACCCGGGUAGUCCUGGCCGUAAACGAUGCAUACUAGGUGAUGGCCCGGCCAUGAGCCGUGUCAGUGCCGUAGGGAAACCGUUAAGUGUGCCGCCUGGGAAGUACGGUCGCAAGACUAAAACUUAAAGGAAUUGGCGGGGGAGCACCCACAAGGCGUGAAGCUUGCGGUUCAAUUGGAGUCAACGCCGG
rnacentral:rRNA from 1 species